AGAGAACAGGUAGAACCUGAUAUGUAAAUGAGCAGAGCAAACGAAAGCAACUUUCAACGACCGAAUGAUCAUUAUAGACUCUGUUUCUAUUGAGAGAUAAAAGGCUGGUUGAAUGAGUUGCCUGUGAAAGCUACUUCAUCUGCAAGAAAACAGGCGGCUGCACCAGUGACUGUCAGAAGUUUUGUGAUUUCCUCAUAUGAACGUGAAAGGGUCAGUGCUCUAAAAUGAGUCUCUCUGGGGAGAGAGAGGAGGGACCUGCCUCUAAAAUGAGACUCUCUGGGGAGAGAGAGGAGGGGGGUCCUGCCUCUAAAA